UACGUAGGGUGCGAGCGUUGUCCGGAAUUAUUGGGCGUAAAGAGCUUGUAGGCGGUUUGUCGCGUCGGUCGUGAAAACUUGGGGCUUAACCCUGAGCUUGCGGUCGAUACGGGCAUCACUGGAGUUCGGCAGGGGAGACUGGAAUUCCUGGUGUAGCGGUGAAAUGCGCAGAUAUCAGGAGGAACACCGGUGGCGAAGGCGGGUCUCUGGGCCGAUACUGACGCUGAGGAGCGAAAGCGUGGGGAGCGAACAGG
rnacentral:rRNA from 1 species